rnacentral:rRNA from 1 species
UACGUAGGGUGCAAGCGUUGUCCGGAAUUAUUGGGCGUAAAGAGCUCGUAGGCGGCUUGUCACGUCGGGUGUGAAAGCCCGGGGCUUAACCCCGGGUCUGCAUUCGAUACGGGCUAGCUAGAGUGUGGUAGGGGAGAUCGGAAUUCCUGGUGUAGCGGUGAAAUUCGUAGAUAUCGAGAGGAACACCGGCGGCGAAGGCGGCCAACUGGACGAAUACUGACGCUGAGACUCGAAAGCGUGGGGAGCAAACAGG